AAAGAGGGAGAGGGAGAGAGGGAAAGAAAGAGGGAGAGACAGACAGACAGACAGACAGACACACAGAGAGAGACACAGAGAGAGAGAGACAGAGAGAGAGAGUAGGAAAGGGAGAGGGAGUAGGAAAGGGAGAGGGAGUGUGUAUGUGUAUAAGUGAGUGAGGAAGGAAAAAAAGUUGUUCUCCCCUUUCGUCAACUUUUCGUUAACUUUCGCUUUUCUCUCCCCUCCACCCCCUCGCCCUCCCCUCCACCCCCUCCCUCCUCGGCCAUUCCCCCGCGCCUUGAGUUCAGCCGGCGGAACGCCUGACACUGGGAAGGUUUUGGGGGGUGGUUUUUAUCGGGGGGGACGGCUAACCCUCGGGGACAGCACAAUCCCGGUGCCCCGGCUCCUCCGCAGGGAACCAGGGCGGGGGGUGUGUGGGGGGACGAGCAAAGAGAGCAGAGAAAGAGGAAGAGAGACCCCCCCCAGCCCUCCCGGUCCACCCUUCUGCAGUCCCCAACAAGGUGGCCUGGGAGCUCGCAGCGCGCUGGAUUGCGGGGCGCACGCACAACACCCCCCUCCUCUAGAAGCCCCCCAAUCCCCUCCCCAGUGCCCCCCAGUCCAGCGCGGACGGUCGAGGGGGAGGCCAGGCCGGGAGCGCGGGCCGGGAGCGCCGGGGGCGGAAGCGCGGAACGGUAGAGACCUACUUUUGGCUAGCUUUCUGGCCCUCGCCUUGGAUCUCAUGUUGUCGGCUUGCUGAAUCCCUCUCCUCCUCCUUGACUCCCGAAGCUGCUACACGCUAUCUUCAUCUCCCCAGCAUUGUCAAUUCCGGACACCUUCGCACAUGCGCACAGAGCCUUCAAUCUGACACCCCUCGCCGGGGCCAAAAAAACUUUCCAAUGUAUUCACCAUCAUCACCAUCACCAUCAUCACCAUCAUCAUCAUUGGCGGCGGAGGCGCAGAGUACGGGCUGGAGGUGGGAUUGCUUUGGGGGGACAUUUUCUUUUUUCUUUCUUUUGGGGGGGUGCUCUCCUCUUCCUCACCUCACUUAUCUCCCCCCCCCCCGCCUCCUUCCUCCUCCCCUCUUCCCUCUCCCCCUCCCCCUCCUUCGCAACCACCUCGGAGCCUCUCGCGACUGGCCCUUUAAGAGGAUAUUCCGUCCUCUCUCCGCGCUCCUGCCCCCGGCCGGCCCCACAGCCCGGACGCGCUUUCACCGGAUCAAGGGCUCCGGUUCUUCCAGGACGCCCCACCCCCUGGAGGGUAGCUAAGAAUCUGUGUCCCCCCCAAAUUAGAGGGGCAUCCUGCAGCGUCCUCCCUUGCCCCGCUGUGUCCUCCCCUUUCCUAUCUUACCCCGUCCCCUUCACAACCCCGGUAGUUCGAACCCGGCUUCUCUGCCUGCCCACUGUCGGUUUGCUCCCUGCUGGCAUCUGCCCCGUCCAACAUCAGCUGGUCCCACGAGCCUUCCCGGUUCCCCCCGUUUCCUCCCAACCCCAGUGGCCCCUGGUCGGGACGCCCCUCUCCCUCCCGCAGAGUUAUAAACAUAAACAGAGCAAGUACACACUUUGUUAGCGUCUCCGGGCUGCUGAGUUCGCUACCCCAGGCCCGGGCGGAGGGCUUUUGAGGAGAGGGGAGACGGGGACUAGAAGGGGUGAGAAUCUUUGGAGAACCUCUGGUGCGCCGAGGAGCGGGGGUGGGGUGGGGAACACGCUGGGACUCGACCGAUGCGGGGACUGGCAGAGCUCCGAGAAGUCUGGGGUGAAGUGGGGUGGGAAGGGGUUGUGGUAUUGUCACCGGCGCUCUGGGACCUUUCUACACCGCCCAGCCCUGAUUCCAGGUGCCCCGAAGCCGGCUCUCCCUAGCACCUCUGCUUCUUUGCCGGGAAAGGGGCAAGGCAAGAGAGGGGGGACUGACUCGCCUGCCCCCGGCCCCCCCUCAUUCCUUCUCCUACAACCAUUUCCAGACCUUGCGGCUUCUCUGCUGAGGCUCCCAGCUGAGGUGAGCACCCGGCUGGGGUACGGGGGUGGGGGGGGCAACGGUGGUGCUUAGGAGAGGAACGCUCUGUGGAAGAGCUUUGGGCAGGGGACAGUUUUGGAAGGGUACGGGUGGGGAAGCACUCUGCCCCCUCCCGCACCCACACCUGCUCAGGGCAAGCCCCUCCGGAGCUGGAGGCUGUGUGCGGGGCAGAGAGCCGCUGAGGCUAGAGAGGGGACUCCAGUCCCGCUCGAGCUGAGGAAACAGGGGGUCCCGCCGCUAGGCCAGCAGGUGGAGGGCUCCCACAGGAAGGUGGGUGGAUUUAUCUUAAUUGUGUUUCUUCCUCCUCUGUCAGUCCCUAAUUCUUGCCGGCGCCGAGAGCCCAGCUGGGCCCGAGGCGGGCGGCCUGAGAGAGGAGGUGGUGGGCGGUGGGAGGGCCUGCCUCGGUCCCGCCGGCCUCUGCUGGGCUUUGGUGGCUUCGGUAGCCCGCCUAAGGGAGCUUGGCUUGGGGCUCGGCCUGCGUGGUGGUGGAGGUGGUGGUGGGGAAGCCUCCGGGACAAGUACGUCCUGUCUGGGUAUUCCCUCGUUGGAAAUGCUCCUAAGAGAAAGAGCCGGGAAUAAAAAGGACUUGGUCUGGGAACUCACUUCUGUCUGCAAAGGCUUAAGGGUUUUCCCGGCCUUCCUCCUUCUCCUGCUCCUUUCACUCCAGCUUCCUAGGUUAGGAGAGGCCGAUCUCCCCAGGGAACUACGACCUAAACACUGCAGACUAGGGCUGUCUUCCUCCAAGCUCAAUCCAAUUUAUACCACCCCACCUCCCCAAGCACCCUCAAUGCCCCAAGCCCUAAACCCACAGAAACCAGGUCCCCACUUUCGCUGCCUCUUUUGUGGGUUGCUGUAGCCGUAGCUACCCCUUCUUCCGAAACCUGCGCAGUUUAAAUUACGGAUACCGAAAUAGGUGUCAAAGUAAAGCCCCCACUUUGCCACGGAGCUCACCCUCCAGAUCAGGCAAACGAAUAGCGGGGCGCUAGAUUCACGGGGAGGGGAGAGUCGCAGGCAAUGAGAGUGGAGGAGCCCGCUAGUGUGGGCAGCUGACCUUCAGGGCUACCUUCGUUCUUGUUCCUUUCACCUUUCCUUCUCUUUACUCUCCCCUCCAGGCAACAUCCUCCAGACCCCCGGGUCCAAGGGAAUACAGAAACUGGGGAGGGUGGAGGAAAUCAUAGAGCCCACCCAAGUGGGACUGGGGUCUGAAACUAGAAAGGCCCUCUCUUCUAGUAGUCCUUCCUCAGGAUUAGACGCCUAUAGGGAGAGUGAACGAAUGGGUUCUGGUUUAAGGGAUCUUGGGAGAAAGGUAACGGCACUUAUUCAUUCCUUGCUUUUCUCCAGAAAGGGCUUUGGGAUUUCUAGACUUGGGCAUGGAGAGAAAAGGCAUGGGGCCGAGAAAGUCUCCUUCAGGCGGCUAAUUUUGGACCUGGCCUCUGGAACCCGGUCUUAGCCUGGACUAAGCGGCCUUCACCUUUUUUUCUGCUCCAUGUCAGCAGCCUCUAGCCCCCACCCAAAGGCUGUCAGCGCCUCUGGUCUCACUCUCAGCCCUGCCUUUGACCCUCACCCCUGCGGAAGCCCCAGGAGCCAAAGGGAGCCAAGAGACAGGGAUAAAGCCGAAGAGGAGAGAAAUAUAUAGUUUUUUUUUCUCCACCGUCUCCCCCAUACACACGAAAGAAAAUAAAAGUAAUUACUGUUGACAAUGGGGAGGAAGAACUGCCCAUAAAGGAAGAAGCUGGGAGGAUGGGAAGGGAGAGUAAGAAGAGAGUAUCCCUUCUGCUUGUCCCCCACCCCCACCCCAGUCUAGAGCGGAAAGGGAGGCUUGAGGCCCCCAGAGUGGUUAGGUGUACCUCCUCGAUCAAAUGAUAAGUCUUUGGGCUAUCUGAACUGAGAUGAUCAAGGUCUUCUGAUCCCUGCAAAGAUGGCUCCCCGAUUGGAGUGGGGGGGAUGGGGGAUCUCUUCUAGGGAAAACUGGCCCCGCUCUAUGACCCUUCUAAUGUCCGCUCCUCAGAGAGCCUCUCAAUCCCAGCGAGCAACGAAAAUGGGUCCCAAUGCCCAGAAAUUCCAGGCCGUUGGUUCUUUUUGGUUUUAUUCUUGUAAGGGAAAGGCCCGAUGGGGGCAGGGGAACAGCAAGUGUCGAAGAGGCCGGAAUUUCGGCCGAGCGGGGUGACAGAAGGGGAAAUUCCCAGAGGUUGGGCUCGGUCCUCUGGCUCCCCUUUGAAGAAGGUGACCCCGCAAAGCAGAAUUUCUUGUCUUCUCUGAGAUAGGAGGCCCCGAAGCUAACCCCCCAAAAAAAGACAAGCUCCAUUUCUAACCAGCUUUUCUAUUGUUAAUAAGUUUAACCCCCAGUCCUCAGUGUAUUCAAAGUCCCCGUGUUCUGGGAAGCUUAGCCCAGACCCCUUCACCGGAGGACAGAUUUGGAAUAGGCUAAUGGAGCAAGACAGGGAGAGGGCUAAGGGCUAAUCCAACUGGGGGCUCCCUGACCCCAUCGAGGCCAGGCCAAGCAAGCCAGUAGAGCAGGAAGUAAGAGCGGCAAGUCAGAAUUGAGACCCAGGCCCCAGAUCUUCCGGGCCACUUGACUGAUUUCUCUUUUGGGAGCAGGAAAAAAAAAAAAAAAAAAAAAGAAGGGCAGUCAUCUAUCCAGGGAAGUGGGCAUCCUGCAGCUCUGGGGCUCGGUCCUUCAACUUUUUCUGUAAAGGUCAAGAUGGUUGAGAGGGCUCGGAUUCUUCCAUAGACUCUUAUCUGCAUAAGUGCAAAUGGGUGUAUGGCUAAUUUUUUGGGGGGAAGAGUAAGAAAUCUUGUGGGAGUGAUGAGCUUACACUCUUUAAAUUUCUGAUCUUCGACAAUAGUCUGGGGGCUUUCCAGGGAAGCAGUGCAAAGGAUCCCCGGAGUCCUGGAAUUUGGGGAAAAUCCUUAAUAGAAUGGAUUUUGAGAUGCUAGCUGAGCACAGGCAAGACUGGAUUUUAGUUAAGUCUGGCUGGGGACAGCUUCUCUGCAUGCAGAAGGGAAAGAGUCUCAUCCGAGAUGUCCCCUGAGACCUGGGGGUGGGGGUAGGGGGGCGGUGUAGGUAGGAGAUAGAGAGCUCCAGUCCUGUUAUCGGCUCACUUUUAAGCAAAGAAGGAGACAGGUGACGGUAGCUGGUGAAAAGGAAGCUGGGGAGAAAAUUUUGGAGGCAGGUGGGGCAAACGCCCCACGUGUUUUCCAUCCUCCACAAUACCAAAAUUCAUUGUGGUGCCCCCUCCCCUCCCCCCCAGGGUUCUGGACGACUUGGGUGGGAGUGAGGAAGUAGAGUGAAAAACGGGUGAAGAGUUUUAGUUUUUCCGACACCAAAAAAGCUUAAUUGUGGUUUCCAAAGAGUCCUUAAGAUUCAGGAGCCCACCCGGCUGGCUGGAGACCACCGGUAUCCCCGCAGGAUUCCCUUAACUUUCCUCGUCUCUUCUCCCCUAUUUCUGCUCCCUCUCCUCCUUCUCUUGGAAAACAGCCCCCAACAAAUCUUUAUAUCUGUGGUGGCCGCAUAAACCUGCCGUAGGAAGGAAAAAAAAAAAAAAAAAAAAAACAACCCGGUAAAUAUCCGUCUUCCCUAGGGAAUUUAAUUAGUCUUUCAAACGGCUGUGAAGAUCGGCUUCUAGGUAUUUGGUGUGGGCAUAAGAAGGGGGAGGGGCUGGAAGGGACAGGAAAAUCAGAGGUCCAAGUAUGAGCUCCCCCCCUAAUAAUAACAAUAACAAUAACAACAAUCUUUUUUUAAAUACAGUACGCUCUUUUUUUGAAAACCUCAGAAUAGGAUUCGUUGACCUGCUUAAUGCAAACUAAAACCAGUUUUCGAAUGGCGAGUUCCGGAGAACGAGGGCUUCAGCCGGGCCCCAGCACCUUCCCGAAAGAUAAUUGGCCCACCUGCUAUGGGGCCUGGAGACCUCCUGCUUACCGCGGUCUACAAGAGCUUUGUAACAGUAAUUCCGCCCAAAGGAGACUUAAAACACAAAAAACAAAAAACAAAAAAACAAAAUCCAAAACGAGUAAAAACUAAAAUGAGCAUUUCAGGCAUAACCCAGUCUGGCUCUGCCCGACAUCAGCUGCUCCAGGAUCUGAAGAUUUGGCUUUUAAGGGUAAACACCAGUAGGUAACUGGUAAAGCUCUUUGCUGCGUCUCCUCGCGGUGCAAAGUGGUCCCAGUAGCCGGAAGGGAAGGGAAGAAGAGGACAGGACAGGACAGAAAAGAAAUAGGAGUCGGCUUCUUUUCUUUCUCAGAGUGGGGGUCAAGGGGAGGGGGUGAACAGCCUGGUCGAAAUUUGGAGAGACGGCCUUGAGCUUCGGCAGCUUUUCCUUUUUAAUUAGCGCCAACUACCUUCUAUUCGCAGCCCUCGGGCUCCGGUGCUCUUCCCCCUCACCCCGGAUUUUUUAGAGGUACCAACUCCAUCUCGCCAGGGGCCAGGGUUGGGGUCUUCAAGCCUCGAAGAUCCCAAGACCCAGAGGGACAGAGAAAGGAGCCGUGGUCCCGGCGGGCGGGACCUUCUUGGCCACGGACCGAGGAUUUAGGGGCUUCGCGCUGGAUUGGGAACCCUGAAACCAGAAAGAAGCGAAGGGGUGACCCAGCUGAUUUUAGACCCGGGGAAACGCUGUGCUAAUUCACUCGCUGGACUUCACCUGCAGUCUGUGCAAGGAGAGAUCGGAGUGAGAUCCGUCUUGCUCAGUCUACACUCGGACAAAGCCGUCUCGGAUGGCGCCUGCUGCCCUCACUAGAUUUUCCGGUUCCCCUCGGGCUGCCUCAGAACAUGGUGCGGGGACGGGGGCAGGUGUGAGCCACAGGGACAUCGCGCUCUCCCAGGUAGCUCUCCGGGCCGAAGCUGUUGGCCGGCACGUGGCAGGAGCUUCUUCUGGGAGCCGAGCCGAGUGCAGGCUCCUUCUGAGCCUCCCUGGGUCAGUCCCACAGCUCCCUGCUCCCUGGCCGAAGGCCGCCACUCUAAAGCCUGGCAGAGGGCUCCAAGUUCGGGGACCAGCCAGCCAGUGUGCAGAAGAACUCGCGGGUCCCAGGAGCCUGGCGGGCUCUAUCUCCUAAGGGGGGGUCGGAAUGAGCACUGUUGCUUUUGACAUUCACUCUCCUGUGGGGAUUGUAAAGCUCAGACGCUCCUCCCCUCCCCCCAAGACUGGACGCCCCGUCGGGGCUUCGCAGGGCCGGAUUUCUCUUGGCCCAAUGCAAAUGGUAUCGAGCUGACGAACUGACUAGCCACGAACGGAAUUUAGGAAGAUGAAAACGGAAAGUUGGACUGUUUAUCCCACUCCAGACUUGAUAAUGAUGGUGAUGAUGAUGAUGAUGAUAAUGAUGUUAAGCUCUGCCAGUCUGGCUGGUUAGAAUGAGCCAUUAGCUGAGGGAAGCAAUAAAGUGAGAGGAAAUUUCUGCUCUGCACCCGGGGGGAUCGUCCUUUGGGGAAAUCGUGGAGAAAUCACCGCUCUGGGGACAAUGGUUUGGGCUGGAGAAGGGGGACUGAGGAGAGGUGGACAGGACGCCGGCUCAGACCGAGGCACGCACAGUCAACUGUUUUAUAGAGACAAAGACUGCAGAAACGCAAUGCACAAAGAGAGACAUACAGACAGAAUAAAGUCACACACCCCAACGACACCCAGCAGACACAAACACACAGGCGGCGGACACAUACAGAGACGUACACUACGAGCCUACGGACGCACAGUGCAGAUACCCCAGCCAUACAACAGGCACACGUACACACCCCGACGACACGCGCUACUCCGGACACAAGUUGCCGGAUUGGCACGGGGACGCCCAAGCAAACUAUGCGUUUGCCACACAGUAUACUUGACACAGUUGCCACACGUGUACUAGAACUACACAACACGGAGCGAUACAUAUGGCGCGGACACACAGCCACCACAGACAUGCACACUACACACAUGCAACGGACACAACACGCAGACCUCAAAGACACGCCCACACUCAAAAGUACGUUUGAAUUUCUCUCUUGAGAGAUUUCAACGAAGCCAAACCUCUAGGAAAGUCUCUCUCCGCAACUUGGAAGAGAAGGGUUGGACAGCUCUCCGUGGAGUCCUAGUCUCAUACCCUCAAACCCACUCCACGAGCCCGUCCGCCCAGCUCGCCCUUUAACCUCUGUCCCUUGGGUGCCUUUAUUUUGGGGAAUAUGUUCCUAUAUUGCUGCUACCUCCAAGGCUUGCGAAUCUAAACGAAUCGAUUUUCCUCAU